AGGUGAUGAUGUCCAAUCUCACGAUGGUCUGCAGAGCCCCCAGGGGCUGCUGACAAUGCCUUUGGCACGUGCUGAGCCACGAGG
rnacentral:snoRNA from 1 species